rnacentral:rRNA from 1 species
UACGGGGGGGCAAGCGUUGUUCGGAAUUCUUGGGCGUAAAGAGCUCGUAGGCGGUUUGUCGCGUCUGCUGUGAAAGACCGGGGCUCAACUCCGGUUCUGCAGUGGGUACGGGCAGACUAGAGUGAUGUAGGGGAGACUGGAAUUCCUGGUGUAGCGGUGAAAUGCGCAGAUAUCAGGAGGAACACCGAUGGCGAAGGCAGGUCUCUGGGCAUUAACUGACGCUGAGGAGCGAAAGCAUGGGGAGCGAACAGG